UGCCCCUCCCUCCUGCAGAAGGGAGGAGCUGUUCACCUCUCCUGGAGAAUCAAGUUGCCUGCAAGGAAUGCUGCUACAGGGUUUAUGACUCCCAGAGGCCAGGGACUGGAGGCAGAAUGAGAGGAGGCUCAGAGGCCAGCUUCUGGGAAAAAGGGGUAGAGCCCAGAAGUGAACGCCUUCCGAACUUCCAAGAAUCUUUUGGAAAAUUUGAUUUUCAAAAAAGGAUCUAGCUGAGUGACAUCUGUGUGACAAAUCCCAAAUUCCCUCAACAGAUCCCACUUGAGAGUGCUGUUUGCAGGAGAGCUUGUGGAGUUACAGAUGAGGUCAGUGGAACUGAGAUGGAGUUAAUGGAGUAAACAGAUCUAGUUGGAGUCCUUGAUGUGCUGGGGCUUUCGUCUUCUACCCCUGCAAUGAAGCAGUGGUGGAGGCUGUUUGCUCUGCCGUGCAACUCUGGCCUGCUUGUAAAUGGGCUGUCUCUUUAAAAAUUCUUCUUGUUGUUGCAGAAGCAGCAGCUGCAGCGGUUACCGGGGCAACCUGGCAAGCCACAGUGCAUUAAAUUAAAUUAAACAGGCCUCUGGCUGCCCCUCCCUCCCGCAGAAGGGAGGAGUUGUUCACCUCUCCUGGAGAAUAAAGUUGCCUGCAAGGAA